rfam:Lepisosteus oculatus linkage group LG3, whole genome shotgun sequence.
GCCAGCAGCCAUAUCACCCUGCAACUCAUAACUGGCAGCCCACUGAAGCUCAGCAGGUGUGAGCCUGGUCAGUACCUGGAUGGGAAGACCUCCUGGGAAAAACUAAGGUUGCUGCUGGAA